rnacentral:rRNA from 1 species
CACGCAGUAAACGAUGAUUACUAGUUGUUUGCGAUACAAUGUAAGCGACUGAGCGAAAGCGUUAAGUAAUCCACCUGGGGAGUACGUUCGCAAGAAUGAAACUCAAAGGAAUUGACGGGGGCCCGCACAAGCGGAGGAACAUGUGGUUUAAUUCGAUGAUACGCGAGGAACCUUACCCGGGCUUGAAAUGCGGCGGACCGGCAGAGAGAUCUGCCUUCCCUUCGGGGCCGCCGUGUAGGUGCUGCAUGGUUGUCGUCAGCUCGUGCCGUGAGGUGUCGGCUUAAGUGCCAUAACGAGCGCAACCCUCAUCAUUAGUUACUAACAGGUCAUGCUGAGGACUCUAGUGAGACUGCCAUCGUAAGAUGC